rnacentral:rRNA from 1 species
UACGUAGGGGGCUAGCGUUGUCCGGAUUUAUUGGGCGUAAAGCGUCCGCAGGUGGUUUUCCAAGUCUGCUGUUAAAGCGCGAGGCUUAACCUCGUACAGGCAGUGGAAACUGGAUGACUAGAGUAUGGUAGGGGUAGCGGGAAUUCCCAGUGUAGCGGUGAAAUGCGUAGAUAUUGGGAAGAACACCAGCGGCGAAAGCGCGCUACUGGGCCAUUACUGACACUCAUGGACGAAAGCUAGGGGAGCGAAAGGG